rnacentral:rRNA from 1 species
UACGAAGGGGGCUAGCGUUGUUCGGAAUCACUGGGCGUAAAGGGUACGUAGGCGGCGUGUUAAGUCAGAGGGGAAAUCCUGGAGCUCAACUCCAGAACUGCCUUUGAUACUGGAGAGCUUGAGUCCGGGAGAGGUGAGUGGAACUGCGAGUGUAGAGGUGAAAUUCGUAGAUAUUCGCAAGAACACCAGUGGCGAAGGCGGCUCACUGGCCCGGUACUGACGCUGAGGUGCGAAAGCGUGGGGAGCAAACAGG